rnacentral:rRNA from 1 species
GUAAUUUUUUACCUAGAUUAUUAGUAGUUAUGGUCUUUAAAAUCAAAAAAUUGGGCGGUAUUUUAGUCUGUUCAGAGGACCCCGUUUCUUGAUUGAUAGACCCCGAUUAUUUUUACUUUAGCUUUAAAUUUGUAUAUCGCCGUUUAUAAAAAUUUUAUUAGAAUUAGAAUUUUUUAGUUGUGGAAUGUUAAUUUAUUUCCGAUCACGGGGUAGUUUAUGUUUAAGUUGAAAUGGGCUACAUUGUAGUUAUAAUUGGACUUUUAAUUUGGAAUUUUGAUGAAAUUGGAUUUGAUAGUAAAUUCUUUAUUUUUGGGAGUUGAUGUAGCUCCACAAUAUGCACACCUCGCC